CCUUGAGGCUCCAACUCACCUUUCUGAAAUAGGAACCUUGCUUAUUGGGAACGAUGAGUAGGGGGUUAUGUUCUCUAGCUUUGCGCAGUGGCAGUAUCGUAGCCAAUGAGGUUUAUCCGAGGCGCGAUUAUUGCUAAUUGAAAACUUUUCCCAAUACCCCGCCGUGACGACUUGAAAUAUAGUCGGCAUUGGCAAUUUUUGACAGUCUCUACGGAGACUGAAUAAGGCAAGUUUAAAGAAAGUAUGUGUUUCAUAACUACUGUAAACCUAUGGGAGAAUACGUUGUAAGUCCUAAGUCACAAACAGCGUGAAAGAAACGCUGAGAGUUCAAAAUGACCAGUAGCUAUAUGCCCAACUUCAACUUUUCACCGUUAUCAGAUAGGGAAUUGCCUUGCUAGAAAAUCCUAGCACGUUACUGUCGUUUUAGGUUUUGAUUUCAAUAAAAGCGAUUAGCUUUUGUUAACAGUUCGUUUCAUACCUGUUCCUCAGUUUUAGUUCGUUCUUUACACUUGCGUGUUAGUUGUUGUCCAAGUCGUAUUAAUAAUUGUUUUUUAUUUCUUAAUAUUUAUUUUUCUGGUUUUAACACCAACACUUCCAUUUACUCGUCCCGUCUCGCAUUACUCUCUGUUUCGGUUUUUUUCUUGUCGCUGUUCUUUAGAACGCGAGUCUUACCCGCAGCGUCUUGGUGAUGUCAUGGUAAUUUGCAUAAAAUUCUCCAGCGUCCUUAGCGAAAGGCGUUCUUAUUUUCGAAAGGUUAGGGUUCGACAAGAGUUGCUCUAAUACCCGGCAGCUCUUCGCGCACACGUGUUUUAAACAGGAAUGUGUGCAGGGAAAUGCUUCAUAUCUCCCAGCUCGUUGUUAGUCGCUCACCCUCACGGUAAAGACAGUUGUCAUCCAUGGGGGAGCAAAAGAAUGCGGCUUGUUAGGGUGAAGGUGGUGGAACAGCUUCUACUGAUUCAAAGCAGCACAGUGUGGAAAACCGCCCUAGCUGCAGAUCAGACACAGUCCCUGCUUCAAGGAACUCACCGUUUUGAAAACACAGAUAAACAACAUAAUUACAGAUUAUUUCAAUGUUAUAGACAGAUGUGAUGAAGCCAUCCAGAAGACCAGCCGAGUUCCAACACCACCCACUAUGGAGCACUUAUUGUGUGCCAGACGCCGCAUGAACUGCUUACUUCCUGUGCCAGACUCCAUGCAAAGUGCUUGAGAUGCUUUGUUUCAUUUAAUUCUUACAGAAACCUUUCUCCCCAUUCCUUUUUUUUUUUUUUUUUACAAACAGCUCUACUGAGGCAUAAUUGAUAUUCAAUAAACUGCAGAUAUUUAAAGCCUA